UACGUUCAUAUCACGUUGAAAUACCUAUACUCGUUCGAUCACCGAAGUCAAGCAACUUUAAGCCUGGUCAGCACUAAGAUGGGUGACCGUUUAGGGAAUACGAGAUG